rnacentral:rRNA from 1 species
UACGUAGGAUGCAAGCGUUAUCCGGAAUCACUGGGUUUAAAGGGUCUGUAGGCGGGGCAUUAAGUCAGUGGUGAAAUUACAGGGCUCAACUCUGUAGCUGCCAUUGAUACUGAUGUUCUUGAGUGAGGUUGAGGUACUAGGAAUGUGACAAGUAGCGGUGAAAUGCUUAGAUAUGUCACAGAAUAUCAAUUGCGAAGGCAAGGUACUAAGCCUAAACUGACGCUGAGGGACGAAAGCGUGGGAAGCAAACAGG